rnacentral:rRNA from 1 species
UGGGGAAUUUUGGACAAUGGGCGAAAGCCUGAUCCAGCCAUGCCGCGUGAGUGAAGAAGGCCUUCGGGUUGUAAAGCUCUUUUAGUCGGAAAGAAAAGAUCGUAAAUAAUACUUGCGAUUAAUGACGGUACCGACAGAAAAAGCACCGGCUAACUACGUGCCAGCAGCCGCGGUAAUACGUAGGGUGCGAGCGUUAAUCGGAAUUACUGGGCGUAAAGGGUGCGCACGCGGUUUUGUAAGUCAGAUGUGAAAUCCCCGGGCUUAACCUGGGAAUUGCGUUUGAAACUAUAAGACUAGAGUGCAAGAGAGGGGAGUGGAAUUCCAUGUGUAGCAGUGAAAUGCGUAGAGAUGUGGAAGAACACCGAUGGCGAAGGCAGCUCCCUGGAUUGACACUGACGCUCAUGCACGAAAGCGUGGGGAGCAAACAGGAUUAGAUACCCUGGUAGUCCACGCCCUAAACUAUGUCAACUGGUUGUCAGAUCUAAUUAAGGAUUUGGUAACGUAGCUAACGCGUGAAGUUGACCGCCUGGGGAGUACGAUCGCAAGAUUA